rnacentral:rRNA from 1 species
AUUGAACGCUGGCGGCAGGCCUAACACAUGCAAGUCGAGCGGUUGACGGGAGCUUGCUCCCUGAUUCAGCGGCGGACGGGUGAGUAAUGCCUAGGAAUCUGCCUAUUAGUGGGGGACAACGUUUCGAAAGGAACGCUAAUACCGCAUACGUCCUACGGGAGAAAGCAGGGGACCUUCGGGCCUUGCGCUAAUAGAUGGGCCUAGGUCGGAUUAGCUUGUUGGUGGGGUAAUGGCUCACCAAGGCGACGAUCCGUAACUGGUCUGAGAGGAUGAUCAGUCACACUGGAACUGAGACACGGUCCAGACUCCUACGGGAGGCAGCAGUGGGGAAUAUUGGACAAUGGGCGAAAGCCUGAUCCAGCCAUGCCGCGUGUGUGAAGAAGGUCUUCGGAUUGUAAAGCACUUUAAGUUGGGAGGAAGGGUUGUAGAUUAAUACUCUGCAAUUUUGACGUUACCGACAGAAUAAGCACCGGCUAACUCUGUGCCAGCCGCCGCAGUAAGAC